rnacentral:rRNA from 1 species
CAGCAGCCUCGGUAAUUCCGGCGGCCCGAGUGGCGGCCACUAUUAUUGGGCUUAAAGCGUCCGUAGCCGGGUUGGUUAGUCUCCCGGGAAAUCUGGCCGCUUAACGGUCAGAAUUCCGGGAGAUACUGCCAGCCUAGGGACCGGGAGAGGCCGAGGGUAUUCCCGGAGUAGGGGUGAAAUCCUAUAAUCCCGGGAGGACCACCUGUGGCGAAGGCGCUCGGCUGGAACGGGUCCGACGGUGAGGGACGAAGGCCAGGGGAGCAAACCGGAUUAGAUACCCGGGUAGUCCUGGCUGUAAACGAUGCGGACUUUGUGUCGGACAAGCUAUGAGCUUGUCCGGUGCCGGAGGGAAACCGUUAAGUCCGCCGCCUGGGGAGUACGGCCGCAAGGCUGAAACUUAAAGGAAUUGGCGGG